AAAGGUGAAAUUAGAUUAUUUUAUUAAAAAAAAAUUUUUAUAUUGAAGCUAGAAAUUUUUAGGUCUAAACUAGGAUUAGAUACCCUAUUAUUCUAAAAAGCAAUUUAUAGUUCAGCUAAAUAAUUAAUAGAUAUAAUCUUUAAAAUUAAAGAAUUUGGCGGUAAUUUAGUCCUGUUAGAGGAACCUGUUUAUUAAAUCGAUAAACCACGAAAUAUCUUACUUAAAUUUGUAUACCAUCAUUAUCAGAUAAUUUUUAUAGAAUGAAUUAUUGAGUUUAUAAAAAAUUAGUAAAAUUAGAUCAAGGUGCAGUUAAUGAAUAAGCUUGAAUGGGUUACAAUAAUUUAUAAUUAAAUGGAGUGAAAUUUAUGAAGGAGGAUUUAAUUGUAUAAGAGUUUAAAAUGCUUUUAUGAUAUAGGUUCUAAAUUAUGUACAUAUCGCCCGUCGCUUUC
rnacentral:rRNA from 1 species